GACGAACGCUGGCGGCGUGCUUAACACAUGCAAGUCGAACGGAAAGGCCCUGCUUUUGUGGGGUGCUCGAGUGGCGAACGGGUGAGUAACACGUGAGUAACCUGCCCUUGACUUUGGGAUAACUGCAGGAAACUGGGGCUAAUACCGGAUAGGAGCUCCUGCUGCAUGGUGGGGGUUGGAAAGUUUCGGCGGUUGGGGAUGGACUCGCGGCUUAUCAGCUUGUUGGGGGGGUAGUGGCUUACCAAGGGUUUGACGGGUAGCCGGCCUGAGAGGGUGACCGGCCACAUUGGGACUGAGAUACGGCCCAGACUCCUACGGGAGGCAGCAGUGGGGAAUAUUGCACAAUGGGCGGAAGCCUGAUGCAGCAACGCCGCGUGCGGGAUGACGGCCUUCGGGUUGUAAACCGCUUUCGCCUGUGACGAAGCGUGAGUGACGGUAAUGGGUAAAGAAGCACCGGCUAACUACGUG
rnacentral:rRNA from 1 species